rnacentral:rRNA from 1 species
UACGUAGGUGGCAAGCGUUGUCCGGAAUUAUUGGGCGUAAAGAGCUCGUAGGCGGUUUGUCGCGUCUGCUGUGAAAUCUGGGGGCUCAACCCCCAGCCUGCAGUGGGUACGGGCAGACUAGAGUGCGGUAGGGGAGAUUGGAAUUCCUGGUGUAGCGGUGGAAUGCGCAGAUAUCAGGAGGAACACCGAUGGCGAAGGCAGGUCUCUGGGCCACUACUGACGCUGAGAAGCGAAAGCAUGGGGAGCGAACAGG